rnacentral:lncRNA from 1 species
ACCGGAUAGGGAGCAAAUAGAGUAUAGAGCAUAAGAAAGUAAAAAUAAAAGAUAAAGUAAAUGAAAGUAUAUAAGAAGAAUCAAGUCAAAUUUUUAAUCACUUGAAAACACACUUUAAGGAUGAAAUCAGUGCAAGCUUAUAUUUAAAUAGAGGGAGUUUAUUUGAAAAGAAUUGAUUUUGAUCAUUGACAUGCUUGUUCUUAAUAUUUUAAUGCAUGACUUAACACAUAAU